GAGCUGUCCAACAUUUCAGUGGAGGAAACUACAACAAAAGUUUGUUGCGGAUUUUGUCUUUUAUCCAAAUAUGACCCCAGUACUACAAAGCUCCAGUUGAGGAACACAGGACAAAAACAAACAGGUAACAGAACAGACAAGACAAGGAAAAUAAAACACAGAGAGAGGGAAGGACAGGAAAGGGUAGAAGAGCAGCCUAAAAGACGAGAGCAAUCUUUAAGACCAGAUAUGAGUUAAGUACUGUAUAUGAACCCUUAUGAACCCUGUUAGGAGAAUGUGGUAUUCUCUUGUUUUUAGGAAACUCUGAUUUCCCUUUAUAAGAAUCCCUAAGCUAAAAAUGGCCUCUAUUGGUUUGUGGAUGCAUUUUGUAAUAGGGAGAUUUAUAUUGAUAGACUUAAUCCUAAUUGUAUUCUGUUUGGUGUAGAUGGGUGACCAAGCUACAAAGUAAAAAAUGUGAUUCUGGUAUCAGUCCAAAAAGAGCAA
rnacentral:lncRNA from 1 species